AAGACUUUAGGUUAAAUUUAAACUUGUAGCCUUCAAAGUUAUUAAUAUCUGCUUACACGUAAAGGUAAGUCUUA
rnacentral:tRNA from 1 species